AUACUUAACUGGCAGGGGAGAGACAUAUCACGAUGAUCACCAUGAUCACGAAGGUGAUUUUCCCAGGGCGAGGCUUAUCCAUUGCACUCUGAAUAUGCUGACCUCUGCGAUUUCCCCAAAUGUGGGAAACUUGGCUGCAUAAUUUGUGAUAGUGAGGGACUGCAUUCGCACUCUCCUC
rnacentral:snRNA from 1 species